rnacentral:tRNA from 1 species
AGGGGCGUAGCUCAACGGAAGAGCACCGGUCUCCAAAACCGAAGGUUGCAGGUUCGAGCCCUGUCGCCCCUG